UACGGGGGGAGCAAGCGUUGUUCGGAUUUACUGGGCGUAAAGGGUGCGUAGGCGGCGCGGUAAGUCGGGUGUGAAAUCUUGGAGCUUAACUCCGAAACUGCAUUCGAUACUGCCGUGCUUGAGGACUGGAGAGGAGACUGGAAUUUACGGUGUAGCGGUGAAAUGCGUAGAUAUCGUAAGGAAGACCAGUGGCGAAGGCGGGUCUCUGGACAGUUCCUGACGCUGAGGCACAAAGGCCAGGGGAGCAAACGGG
rnacentral:rRNA from 1 species